UACGUAGGGACCAAGCGUUGUUCGGAUUUACUGGGCGUAAAGCGCGUGUAGGCGGCUUGGCAAGUCAGUUGUGAAAGCCCGGGGCCCAACCCCGGAAUUGCAUCUGAAACUGCCUGGCUAGAGUCCCGGAGAGGAAGGCAGAAUUCCCGGUGUAGGGGUGAAAUCCGUAGAUAUCGGGAGGAAUACCAGCGGCGAAGGCGGCCUUCUGGACGGUGACUGACGCUGAGACGCGAAAGCGUGGGGAGCAAACAGG
rnacentral:rRNA from 1 species